GUUUGCUCUAUUUUAGAUGCUUUCUGGAUAGCUACUCACAUUAUUUCAGGUUGUGAGUACCCUACUUCAAAUUUAUUUCUUCAAGAAGUUCAGAAAAUCAAAUCAGCCUUGGAUAGUCAUGCAAAUGAUGAGGAUUCCUUCAUUAAGGAUUUGGUUGGGAAAAUGAA